UACAAAGGAUGCAAGCGUUAUUCGGAAUUACUGGGCGUAAAGCGUGCGUAAACGGUUAUUUAAGUCAGCUAUGAAAGCCCAGAGCUCAACCUUGGAAUUGCAUUUGAGACUGAAUAGCUAGGGUGCGGAAGAGGGAAGCGGAAUUUCCGGUGUAGCGGUGAAAUGCAUAGAUAUCGGAAGGAACACCAAUGGCGAAAACGGCUUCCUGGGCCAGCACCGACGUUCAGGCACGAAAGCGUGGGGAGCAAACAGG
rnacentral:rRNA from 1 species